CGUCAUGCUGGACCACAUGCUGCCACCAUACACGAGAGUGAGGCCUUUGCACGGAGAAGCUGUGCUGCAGGCACCGAGUUGUCUACCUGGGAUGAUUCUUCUGGAAAGCUCCCCAGGGAUGCUGACAUGUUCGUGGUUAGAGGCCACCAGACAAGAUGACCUCUAGUCUCUCCUCCUGCUCUAAGAGGCCACACGUACAUACAGGGGAUGCUGUCAAACAAGACCAGACAAAUUACUUGCUCAAGUCUCCAGUCUCCUCAUCUGUAAAAUUGGAAGUGAUAACACCUGCCCCGAAGGGCUGUUGUGAUGGUUAAAUAAACCAAGAAAUGUGGAAGAUCUUUCGCAGUAGGUGGUACACUCUCUUCUUUGGCAAAGGCUGGCAGCUACAACAGCCCCACUUGAGUUUGCUCCUGAGAAUGACAACUCUAACCUUCAAUUUCUAACAAAAAUCAAGCAUCCAGGGCCAGCCCAACAGAGCCUCCUGAGGGCACAGGGGCUUUGAACCAAUCUGGCAAGAAUGACCCAUGAUGCCCUGAAUCUGAUGACCACCUUCCCUCCCAAACCCAGACCAACUGGCUCAGCUGUUCCCCGACCACACGAGCAAGGGUUCU